rnacentral:rRNA from 1 species
GACGAACGCUGGCGGCGUGCUUAACACAUGCAAGUCGAACGGAAAGGCCCUGCUUUUGUGGGGUGCUCGAGUGGCGAACGGGUGAGUAACACGUGAGUAACCUGCCCUUGACUUUGGGAUAACUUCAGGAAACUGGGGCUAAUACCGGAUAGGAGCUCCUGCUGCAUGGUGGGGGUUGGAAAGUUUCGGCGGUUGGGGAUGGACUCGCGGCUUAUCAGCUUGUUGGUGGGGUAGUGGCUUACCAAGGCUUUGACGGGUAGCCGGCCUGAGAGGGUGACCGGCCACAUUGGGACUGAGAUACGGCCCAGACUCCUACGGGAGGCAGCAGUGGGGAAUAUUGCACAAUGGGCGGAAGCCUGAUGCAGCAACGCCGCGUGCGGGAUGACGGCCUUCGGGUUGUAAACCGCUUUCGCCUGUGACGAAGCGUGAGUGACGGUAAUGGGUAAAGAAGCACCGGCUAACUACGUGCCAGCAGCCGCGGUGAUACGUAGGGUGCGAGCGUUGUCCGGAUUUAUUGGGCGUAAAGGGCUCGUAGGUGGUUGAUCGCGUCGGAAGUGUAAUCUUGGGGCUUAACCCUGAGCGUGCUUUCGAUACGGGUUGACUUGAGGAAGGUAGGGGAGAAUGGAAUUCCUGGUGGAGCGGUGGAAUGCGCAGAUAUCAGGAGGAACACCAGUGGCGAAGGCGGUUCUCUGGGCCUUUCCUGACGCUGAGGAGCGAAAGCGUGGGGAGCGAACAGGCUUAGAUACCCUGGUAGUCCACGCUGUAAACGGUGGGUACUAGGUGUGGGGUCCAUUCCACGGGUUCCGUGCCGUAGCUAACGCUUUAAGUACCCCGCCUGGGGAGUACGGCCGCAAGGCUAAAACUCAAAGGAACUGACGGGGCCCCGCACAAGCGGCGGAGCAUGCGGAUUAAUUCGAUGCAACGCGUAGAACCUUACCUGGGUUUGACAUGGAUCGGGAGUGCUCAGAGAUGGGUGUGCCUCUUUUGGGGUCGGUUCACAGGUGGUGCAUGGCUGUCGUCAGCUCGUGUCGUGAGAUGUUGGGUUAAGUCCCGCAACGAGCGCAACCCUUGUUCACUGUUGCCAGCACGUUAUGGUGGGGACUCAGUGGAGACCGCCGGGGUCAACUCGGAGGAAGGUGGGGAUGACGUCAAGUCAUCAUGCCCCUUAUGUCCAGGGCUUCACGCAUGCUACAAUGGCUGGUACAGAGAGUGGCGAGCCUGUGAGGGUGAGCGAAUCUCGGAAAGCCGGUCUCAGUUCGGAUUGGGGUCUGCAACUCGACCUCAUGAAGUCGGAGUCGCUAGUAAUCGCAGAUCAGCAACGCUGCGGUGAAUACGUUCCCGGG